rnacentral:rRNA from 1 species
CCGAGUGCGGGUCCUUUGGGCCCAACCUCCCAUCCGUGUCUAUUGUACCCUGUUGCUUCGGCGGGCCCGCCGCUUGUCGGCCGCCGGGGGGGCGCCUCUGCCCCCCGGGCCCGUGCCCGCCGGAGACCCCAACACGAACACUGUCUGAAAGCGUGCAGUCUGAGUUGAUUGAAUGCAAUCAGUUAAAACUUUCAACAAUGGAUCUCUUGGUUCCGGCAUCGAUGAAGAACGCAGCGAAAUGCGAUAACUAAUGUGAAUUGCAGAAUUCAGUGAAUCAUCGAGUCUUUGAACGCACAUUGCGCCCCCUGGUAUUCCGGGGGGCAUGCCUGUCCGAGCGUCAUUGCUGCCCUCAAGCCCGGCUUGUGUGUUGGGUCGCCGUCCCCCUCUCCGGGGGGACGGGCCCGAAAGGCAGCGGCGGCACCGCGUCCGAUCCUCGAGCGUAUGGGGCUUUGUCACAUGCUCUGUAGGAUUGGCCGGCGCCUGCCGACGUUUUCCAACCAUUCUUUCCAGGUUGA